rnacentral:lncRNA from 1 species
AUGCGUGGAGAGGGCUGGUGGCACUUCUUCUGCAGCCCCAGCCUCACUUCUCUGCACAGCUGCUCCGCCAAGGCUGUAGAGGUGUGGCUCUGGGCAGGGUCACUGUGGCUCAGCCCUGUACUUGGGACACAAUGCCAUCGUUGUUCAUCCCCUCCCCGUUUGGCCCUGAAUGCUAAUGCGGCACUCUGUGUUCUCACAGCCACCAACAAGGGCCUCUUUCCUGGUGGCAUCACAGAUGGACAGAGAGAUCCUGGAACCUCCGCCCACCCCUGUUCCCAUUGCUGGGGCUGGCAGGGCUCCCUGAGCUAUUACUAGACUCUAGACAUCAUGAGGGCGUGAUCCCGGUCCCUCUUUUCAGAGGUGUCCCCCUCAGAACCUAGGACAGCACCUGGCACUCAGAAGGCGCUCAGGAAAUGUUUGUUGACUGACAGUUUGAGUGGCCCAAGUCCUGUCCCCUCCUGGCCACUCCACCAUACAAAUCUUCUGGUGGUCUGCAUGCCUCCCAGACAGAGGGGAGCCUGGAUCUGAGCUCGAGAGGAGGAGAGUGGGUCUGUCCCCUCCCUGCUCCAUGCAUCAUGCCUCUAUUAAUGCAGCCUGAGGUACUGCUGGAUUUUCAGGCUACACAUCAUGCUGAGGACUGACAGUCACUGAGGCUGGUUGUUGUUGCCUCCUGCUCUGGGACUGGUGCUGGGGGUGCAGAGGCUGAGAGUAACAAGGAGCGGGCAGGAGAGACAGAGAUGAGGAUGGCUCACAGGCUGAUGGAGAGACAAGGGAGACGGGCAGUUUCCUGAGAGCCAACCUGUGGAUGGGGCAGGGAGUUCUGGGCCCUUGAGUGGUCAUUGGGGUUCACAGAGCCAGCUCCCUUCGGGACGGCAGAGGUCAGCUCCCUCUUCCACCUCUGCUCUGCCUCCACGAGGACAGCCUCUGUCUUCCCUCAAGGGCCCCUUUAGGGCUGAGCUUGGCACCCCUUUGACCUUCCCCAAAGAAUCCCGUGUCCAAGGGUAUCAGUGAGCAUCCAGGACUUCCCUGGAGAUGCUAAGGGAGAUGAGAGCAGUCGCUCCUUAGACCCACCCGCACGGCAACAACGGAAGAGACAGGCAAGGCAGUGUGGGUUGGAAUGCGGAGCAGCCGGGUCUCUCCCUUGCAGCUGGGGGAGUGUGAACUUGCACAGCUCCGGGAGAAAGCUGUUUUGCAGUGUCUGCUAAAGCUAACCCUAGGCACGCUCGGGUCCAGUAAUCCCACUCCUGGGUACAGACCC